rnacentral:rRNA from 1 species
CCUACGGGUGGCAGCAGUGGGGAAUAUUGGACAAUGGGCGAAAGCCUGAUCCAGCCAUGCCGCGUGUGUGAAGAAGGCCUUCGGGUUGUAAAGCACUUUCAGUGGGGAAGAAAGCCUUGGGGCUAAUACCCUCGAGGAAGGACAUCACCCACAGAAGAAGCACCGGCUAACUCCGUGCCAGCAGCCGCGGUAAUACGGAGGGUGCGAGCGUUAAUCGGAAUUACUGGGCGUAAAGCGCGCGUAGGCGGUCUGAUAAGCCGGUUGUGAAAGCCCCGGGCUCAACCUGGGAACGGCAUCCGGAACUGUCAGUCUAGAGUGCAGGAGAGGAAGGUAGAAUUCCCGGUGUAGCGGUGAAAUGCGUAGAGAUCGGGAGGAAUACCAGUGGCGAAGGCGGCCUUCUGGACUGACACUGACGCUGAGGUGCGAAAGCGUGGGUAGCAAACAGGAUUAGAUACCCCAGUAGUC